AUUGAACGCUGGCGGCAGGCCUAACACAUGCAAGUCGAGCGAGCGGCGGACGGGUGAGUAAUGUAUGGGGACUGCCCGAUAGAGGGGGUUAACUACUGGAAACGGUGGCUAAUACCGCAUACUAACGGAUAACCCAUAUGGGAUUAGCUAGUAGGUGGGGUAAUGGCUCACAUAGGAGACGAUCUCUAGCUGGUCUGAGAGGAUGAUGAGCCAGACUGGGACUGAGGCGAGGCCGAGACUCCUACGGAGGCAGCAGGGGGAGAUGUUGGACAAUGGGCGCAAGCCUGAUGCGGCCAUGCCGCGUAUGUGAAGAAGGGCUUAGGGUUGUAAAGGACUUUCAGCGGGGAGGCGUUACGCGCAGAAGAAGCACCGGCUAACUCCGUGCCAGCAGCCGCGGUAAUUC
rnacentral:rRNA from 1 species